ACACUACAUCCCAGGUGCAUUCCUGAAAUACUUGCUGGGUGGAUUGAGCUUAUUCUGGGGCCUAUCCUGCUUGAAUAUGCAAAGGAUUCCAGUGUUAUCUGGUAUAUCUGAUGCGGCAUUGACCUAUACUCUCAUAUCUUAUCUUCCUACUCAGUAUGCAACCAGAAAAUGCUGGUGCUGCUGUACUACUGAGGGCAGUGCCUCCCUCCAACAACUGCUCCGCAGUGUGAGAUGUGGCCACUCACACAGACUCCUAAUACAGCCCACCGCAUGUAGUCUGGCAAGUGUAUAGGACAAGUGGUCCCUUCUUGGAGAUGAUGGAGGAGAAGGACAUUUGUGGGAAACAAAGCUUUUGCCUUGUAAUCCUCUGGAACCCAAGGGAGAGCCAUCUGUCUGUCAGUACCAGAGAUAACUUCUCUUCUAGAGGAAUACAAAAUCUGAACCACAGCUGCAGCUGCAGCACUGCUAUCCAAGCUUUACGAGUGUUUUUAAGAGGCAAUUGAACAAUCAGUCCAGAACACCGAUGUUGACCUGAUUUCUGCUUAAGGAACACCUGACUUUGUUUCCCACUUUCUCCCUUCCCACCUCAGUUCCUGGGGUGACAGGGCCAAGUUCCAGCAACAAUAGCUGAGUUCUGGCAUUUUGACAUCCAAACCAGGGAUUGUUGUUGCAAAACCAUGUGCAAUUCAGCGCUGAGCAAUGUGUUCCCUACACACAGCUCAGUGCAGUACACUGGGAUGGUUACUAUUAUCGACACUAUUAGGACAUACAGGAGAGCAUGAUGCAAUAGAAGGAACACCAAGCUGAGAUAAAGGUGACAUGGGGAACUGUUGUAGGCAGCUUGAAGGUAUAACUAUAUGCGAAAGCCCCACUGGUUCUGGAGUUGGCCUAUGGAUUCGCAAUGAAUGGAGCAACCAGAAAGGAAUGCAGAUAUAACGGAGAGCCCUCCCUGCCAUCUGCACCCAUGAGCCCACUGCAUCAUAGGAUUUUUGCAGGCCCUGCCAUACAAAAAUAACCAAAACCAAGUGAAAAAGUGUUUAGUCUUACAAAUCUCAAAAUAAAAGGAACCUUGGAUAUGAGUGAUUCUUUCUCAUCUCUAAACAUAUAUGUACUUCCAUAAUGCUGAACUCAAUUCUUCUUUUCUUUAUCUUGCAUUUAAACAAUAGACCAGGUUUUAUGGUUCUAUGCGAAGAACUUGUUACACAAGCUCCAGUGACUCACAAUCUUGUUGAACACUGUAUUCCCAAGUACUAGCCUCUAACACCAGGAAUCCUGGUAAAUGGAAUUAAAUAUUUUGCAAGAAUAUCUUGCUACAGCAUUUAAUACAUCUCUUGCAUAACUGACUCUUUUGGUGGGAUCUUUACUUUGGAAAGUAAAACAGAUAUAUGCAUGUAUUCAGUUGAGAGGUUGUAACAUGUUGAUACUGAUUUACUUGAGAGUUUUGGCCAAAUUUGGUGUGCUUAUGUUGCUGGGAGUAAAAGGGAG
ensembl:lncRNA